CUGCCCAGUGAUUUUAUAUUCAACGGCCGCGGUAUCCUAACCGUGCAAAGGUAGCAUAAUCAUUUGCCUAUUAAUUGUAGGCUAGAAUGAACGGAUUAACGAAAUAAAAACUGUCUCAGUUAGCACCCUAAAAACUAUUAUUUAUAUGAAGAAAUAUAAAUAAAAUCGAAGGACAAGAAGACCCUAUAGAGCUUUAUUUUUCAAAUAGAUGAAUUCUAUCCAAAAAUUCGGUUGGGGCGACCAAGGGCAAAUUUAUCACCCUUAACGUUAAAGAUAAACUUAUCAAUAUAAUGACCCUUUUAUAGAUCAUAAAAACAAGCUACCUUAGGGAUAACAGGCUAAUUCUAUUCAAGAGUUCAUAUUUACAAUAGAGUUUGGCACCUCGAUGUUGGCUUAGGAAUUCAAUAUAGCGCAAAAGUUAUAUAAAGAUGGUUUGUUCAACCAAUUAUUUCCU
rnacentral:rRNA from 1 species